rnacentral:lncRNA from 1 species
UGGACAGCUGUGGGUGGCGAAUCAAGAUUGCUGAAACAAAAAGAAAGGCAAAAGGUUUACAGAAUUCAUCAAAGGUACAAUCUUUAUCAUGAUUUCUAUUUAAACACAAAGGGAUCCUGGGUGAGAAUCGAAAUAAUUUUAAUUUUUCGUUAUGCAUGUAUAAGUAGAUUCCUAACAGUAAUUCCUUCUUGAAUGAUCAGGGUAAUCUCUCCGAAAUCUAUAACAAUCGAUCUCGACCCCGAGGCCAUGUUACGAGUAUCCGAGGUCCCUACUUCGCCAGUUGUGGUGUUUGGUCCUCGGGCUCAAGCAUCAGUCAUAAAAUCACCAUGCUCUGCUUGUACAGGUGAUAGAUGCGAAUUUCUUUGACUUAACAGCUGUGUUAGCGUGACCACCUGCUGAUGGAGCUCUUCGAAGACUUCAGUUGUGACGACCGCUGUCUGGGGUGUGGGCACUCCUAACGACUAUUCUUGAGGAGCUGGUUGAUCUUCAGCAAUAUGAGGGAUGGGAGGGGAUGAGCUUGCUGGAGAAAGAUCUGAUUGCGUGUUUACCAUGACUUUUGGUAGCGGUUCCCACAGAUGGUGCCAAUGAUGCUACUAAAAAUCGUACCUGUUGAGUUUUCGAGUUUGAGGACUUUAAAUGAGCACGAUCGUAGCCUUCUGGUUCCUGAAACAAAGGCAACGAGGUAUGUUCUCGUCGCCCUUCCGAUGCUUGAGUCAGAAAGGAAAUUAUAUGCGUGAGGCUAUAAAUUGGAG